CAAGACAGUUCUCCAUGUAGAGUUGAGGGAGAGCUCGUGCCUUUUCAUUCGACAUCAUCCUGACGUUCAGGUCUUUGAAAGCAUCGUCGUUUUACCCUACCGCCAGUUGCUACAUUAAAGAAAGUCAACUUGGAACGUCUUUGUCACUGUAGUAAUUGGGGAUGGAGUUCAUCUGCCUGUCAAUUCAUGCAAGGCGUGUGAAGAGUUUGUGGUCAUUUGCAUACGGUUUGGACGCCCAAGUCCGUGCAGUCUUUCAUUGACUCUAUUAUGGGCUUACUGAGUGUGCCCACUGGAAAAUGAAACUCGGGGUUGUA